rnacentral:rRNA from 1 species
AGGAUGAACGCUAGCGACAGGCUAACACAUGCAAGUCGAGGGGCAGCACGGGAGUAGCAUACAACUGGUGGCGACCGGCGCACGGGUGAGUAACGCGUAUGCAACCUACCUAUCAGAGGGGAAUAACCCGGCGAAAGUCGGACUAAUACCGCAUAAAACAGGGGCACCGCAUGGUGAUAUUUGUUAAAGAAAUUCGCUGAUAGAUGGGCAUGCGCUCCAUUAGGUAGUUGGUGAGGUAACGGCUCACCAAGCCGACGAUGGAUAGGGGAACUGAGAGGUUGGUCCCCCACACUGGUACUGAGACACGGACCAGACUCCUACGGGAGGCAGCAGUGAGGAAUAUUGGUCAAUGGGCGGGAGCCUGAACCAGCCAAGUCGCGUGAAGGAAGAAGGAUCUAUGGUUCGUAAACUUCUUUUGCAGGGGAAUAAAGUGCAGGACGUGUCCUGCUUUGUAUGUACCCUGAGAAUAAGGAUCGGCUAACUCCGUGCCAGCAGCGGC